CAUGCCUUGAGCAGAGACUCCACUCCCCAGCCACGGUCAUGCCCAGACUUCUCGACAGCCGUUUCCCUUUGCGUACACUCCCACCCAAGUGCCGUCGGCCUCACCUCUUCUUGACUGGCUUAAGGAUAUGUUGCUAUGACAGCCAGGAAUUUGCGAACCAAACCAGACCUGGAGAAGAAGUCUCUCCUUGGCCCAAAGAGUUUGCAGUUCCAAGUGGUUCUGCUCAUGGUUCCUGUUGUCUUCUUUGACACCUGCCAGAUGGAAGAACCUCUAAACCUGGGAUUUGGAAAUGUCCCAACAGAAAGGCUAUUUCCAAGCUGGCUGAAGCUUGGAAAUAAAUUCGACGGAAUUUAGGUGUGAUAGAAGGAACUUCUUGGCAAGAAAAGCUGGAAAAUAUUACAAUAGGUCCCAGAGAGAACCUCAUUAUCUUCUCGAAAAAAUUUCUAUAUUUGUUUAGUGUUCUGUGGUUUGCUAAGC
rnacentral:lncRNA from 1 species